AUGGCCGCGGCCGUGAUCUUCAUUGGGAUCGGCUGAGGAACUUCCGGGCUCCAUAGAGCACGAUGGCGGAUAACGUCCGCCCAGGGUGACCUGAGAGAUAGCGCAACAGAGAACAGACCGCCCGUCCUCGACGGGUAAGGGUGAAACGGCGGUGUAAGAGACCACCGGGCCUCUGGUAACAGUAGGUCGCAUGGCAAGCCUCAUCGGGAGCAAGGCCAAGCAGAUGGCGGUAAGGGCUGCUCGCCCGUGUCAUCGGGUAGGCUGCUAGAGCCUGGCGGUAACGUCAGGUCGAGAUGGAUGGCCAUCCGUGCUGUGCGUUCACGCACGGCACGACAGAACCCGGGGUAUAAGAGGUCUC
rnacentral:RNase_P_RNA from 1 species